rnacentral:rRNA from 1 species
GACAGAGGUCUCGAGCGUUAGGCGGAAUCACUGGGCUUAAAGCGUGUGUAGGUGGAUGUCUAAGUACCUUGUGGAAUCCCACGGCUUAACCGUGGAAUUGCUUGGUAUACUGGAUGUCUUGAGCCAGCUAGGGGCAACCGGAACAAAUGGUGGAGCGGUGAAAUGCGUGAGAUAUCAUUUGGAACGCCAAUGGUGAAAACAGGUUGCUGGGGCUGUGCUGACACUGAGACACGAAAGCCAGGGGAGCAAACGGG